rfam:Ornithorhynchus anatinus chromosome 4, whole genome shotgun sequence.
CCCCUCUCAGGGUCACACCUGGAGAGUUUCCAGUAUUCGACCAGUCUCGAUUACAGGAGGGAGAGUCAAGCAGAGGCAUAACUGUUCCAUUUCCAGCUUUGGCAGUGGCUAGCGAGUGGAAGGCAAUCUGCUACAAGU